rnacentral:rRNA from 1 species
UGGUUUGGCCGGAUUUCACACAGGUGUUGCAUGGCUGUCGUCAGCUCGUGUCGUGAGAUGUUGGGUUAAGUCCCGCAACGAGCGUAACCCUCAUCCUUAGUUACCAUCAGAUAAUGCUGGGGACUUUAAGGAAACUGCUAGUGAUAAACUGGAGGAAGGUGGGGAUGAUGUCAAGUCAUCAUGGCCCUUAUGGAGUGGGCUACACACGUGCUACAAUGGUGGCUACAAUGGGCUGCAAAGUCGCGAGGCUGAGCUAAUCUCUUAAAAGCCAUCUCAGUUCGGAUUGUACUCUGCAACUCGAGUGCAUGAAGUUGGAAUCGCUAGUAAUCGUGGAUCAGCAUGCCACGGUGAAUACGUUCUCGGGUCUUGUACACACUGCCCGUCACGCC